AGGAGCAACCAUAUCAGCACUAAUGCACGGGAUUCCAUCCGAACUCCGAAGUUAAGCGUGCUUGAGCAAGAAUAGUUCUAAGAUGGGCUUGUCUUAUGACUU
rnacentral:rRNA from 1 species